rnacentral:rRNA from 1 species
UACGGGGGGGGUAAGCGUUGUUCGGAAUUACUGGGCGUAAAGGGCGCGUAGGCGGCCACCGCAAGUCGACUGUGAAAUCUCCGGGCUUAACCCGGAAAGGUCAGCCGAUACUGCGGGGCUAGAGUGCAGAAGGGGCAACUGGAAUUCUCGGUGUAGCGGUGAAAUGCGUAGAUAUCGAGAGGAACACCUGCGGCGAAGGCGGGUUGCUGGGCUGACACUGACGCUGAUGCGCGAAAGCUAGGGGAGCGAACGGG